rnacentral:miRNA from 1 species
UCAGGCUCCUGGCUAGAUU